GGGUCAGUAGGUUGGUCGUGCCACCGGUACGUACUGGUCUCACUGAUUCCUCCUUCCUGAAGAACCGUAAUGCCAUUAAUUUGGUGUUGCGGGGAAACAGGACUGUUACUUUGAAAAAAUUAGAGUGUUUAAAGCAAGCUAACGCUUGAAUACAUUAGCAUGGAAUAAUGAAAUAGGACGAUCGAUCCUAUUUUGUUGGUUGCUAGGAUUGACGUA
rnacentral:rRNA from 1 species